GGCGUGCCUAACACAUGCAAGUCGAACGGUAACAGGGACUUCGGUCCGCUGACGAGUGGCGCACGGGUGAGUAACGCGUGGAGUUACCUACCCAUCAGUGAGGAACAACCUGGAGAAAUCCAGGCUAAUACCGCAUACGACCUUCGGGUGAAAGAGGGGGAUCUUCGGACCUCUCGCUGAUGGAUGGUUCCGCGUCCGAUUAGUUAGUUGGUAAGGUAAUGGCUUACCAAGACGAUGAUCGGUAGCUGGUUUGAGAGGAUGAUCAGCCACACUGGAACUGAGACACGGUCCAGACUCCUACGGGAGGCAGCAGUGGGGAAUUUUGCACAAUGGGCGCAAGCCUGAUGCAGCGACGCCGCGUGCGGGAAGAAGGCCUUCGGGUUGUAAACCGCUUUCAACAGGGAAGAAGGAAUGAGGGUCAAUACCCCUCUGCCUUGACGGUACCUGUAGAAGAAGCCCCGGCUAAUUUCGUGCCAGCAGCCGCGGUAAUACGAAAGGGGCAAGCGUUGUUCGGAUUUACUGGGCGUAAAGAGAUCGUAGGUGGCUUGUUAAGUCGGAUGUGAAAUCCCGGGGCUCAACCCCGGAACUGCAUUCGAUACUGGCAGGCUUGAGUUCGGGAGGGGGAAGCGGAAUUCCGUGUGUAGCAGUGAAAUGCGUAGAUAUACGGAGGAACACCUGAGGCGAAGGCGGCUUCCUGGACCGAUACUGACACUGAGGAUCGAAAGCGUGGGUAGCAAACAGGAUUAGAUACCCUGGUAGUCCACGCCCUAAACGAUGUCUACUAGCCGUUGCGGGUAUCGACCCCUGCAGUGGCGCAGCUAACGCGAUAAGUAGACCGCCUGGGGAGUACG
rnacentral:rRNA from 1 species